rnacentral:rRNA from 1 species
AUUGAACGCUGGCGGCAGGCCUAACACAUGCAAGUCGAGCGGAUGAAGGGAGCUUGCUCCUGGAUUCAGCGGCGGACGGGUGAGUAAUGCCUAGGAAUCUGCCUGGUAGUGGGGGAUAACGUCCGGAAACGGGCGCUAAUACCGCAUACGUCCUGAGGGAGAAAGUGGGGGAUCUUCGGACCUCACGCUAUCAGAUGAGCCUAGGUCAGAUUAGCUAGUUGGUGGGGUAAAGGCCUACCAAGGCGACGAUCCGUAACUGGUCUGAGAGGAUGAUCAGUCACACUAGAACUGAGACACGGUCCAGACUACUACGGGAGGCAGCAGUGGGGAAUAUUGGACAAUGGGCGAAAGCCUGAUCCAGCCAUGCCGCGUGUGUGAAGAAAGUCUUCGGAUUGUAAAGCUCUUUAAGUUGGGAGGAAGGGCAGUGAGUUAAUACCUUGCUGUUUUGACGUUACCAACAGAAUAAGCACCGGCUAACUUCGUG